rnacentral:lncRNA from 1 species
UCCUUGGUCCGUCGGUGGGAGGUGGCCCCGAAGCCGGUGGUGACGCCGUAGCUGUCGGUGCCGUUCAUCAUGCUGGUCAUGACCCAGUCGCUGCUCUCCUUGACGCGGCCGCGGGCGGACUCGUCGAGCGCGACCCUGGCGACGCCAGCGCCGGCGGCCACGGCGGCCACCUGCGCGAUCCCGAGGGAGGCGCCCUCGAUGGUGACCAGCGGCUCGCGGAACUGCGCCACCAUCUUCUUGACCUCGUCCAGGUGGCUCCCGGUGAGCUCCUCGGCGGUCUUCACCCAGUUGAGGGGGUCG